rnacentral:ncRNA from 1 species
UAAAACCGUGGGGGUUAAAAUUUUAUUCCAGUUUUGUUAUUUUUUUUUAAGUAAUUUUACAUGUAAAUUUUUGUUACAUUUAAUAAGGAGAAUACAGUAAAUGAAUUUAAUAAUUGUCGAGGGACAGAAUUAGUAAACUUAAAGUUUCGGCCAAAUCUGUGCCAGCAUCCGCGGUUAUACAGGAGAAACAAAAAAUAUAUUAGGAGGAAAAAUAAUGAUUUACAAAAAAGAAUUACAUUUAAGGUGAAAUAAAAUGAAUUAAAAAAAUACUGACCAUUUAGAAACCCUAGUAAUAAACCGGGAUUAGAUACCCCGCUAUCAGGACGUUUGACAGGGUAGUAGGAUUAAAUUCUGAAACUUAAAGAAUUUGGCGGUGAUUCAUCUAACCAGAGGAAUUUGUCCUGUAAUAGAUACUCCGCGGUAAACAUUACCUCAGUUAAUAAGUUUGUAUACCUCCGUCGUAAGGAUAUAUUUAAAAAUUAUAUCCUUAAUUUUUAAGAAAGAAAGUCAGGUCAAGGUGCAGCAUAUACUGAGGAAGAGAUGACUUACAAUAAACUUAUUUAUAACGAAAUUAAAAUGAAAAAUUUUAAGGAAGGUGGAUUUGGCUGUAUUAUUUUUGAAUAAAAGUAGGAUAUAAGCUCUGAAUCAUGUACACAUUGCCCGUCGCUCUUGUUAGAAAAUAAGAUAAGUCGUAACAGAGUAGGAAUACCGGAAGGUGUUCCUAGAAUGAC